CAAGAAGAAAGCUGAUUGAGUUGAAGUAUCUUGCACAACAGAGUGCCUGGGGCUCCUGUGGAGGUGACUCAGAAUCCAAUACCCCUAAGUGGUGAAGGAAUAGUAGCAGAACUUCAGGAUAUCAUUGAGAAGAGGAACAAGGCAAUACAUGGCUCAGAUACUGAAGAGUCUGACUUAGACAAUGGGGAAGAAUGGGAUGAUUAAAAUAUUUUGCAUCACCAGGAGAAGAGAUUAAGAAUGUUAACUGCCAUUUGUUCUUUUAAUGCAAAAUGCUAAUAAAGAUUUACUAGAAGACUUAGAGAAUAGGAAACAGUUUUACACGAGGAACAUUUAAAAUGUGAAUGGCUUCUGAUGUGGUUCAAGACAUGGAGAUAAUAAUGACUGCUAAUUUUAAUUAAUAAAUUUUAGAUUAUAAAUUA